UUUCAGGUGCUAUAUAUUUUCAAACACACACAAACUCGAUGAUUGUUGCCAUUUUUAAUGUUCUAAUUACGUAGUAUUUGUAAUGUGAAGUAUUUUGGGCAAACCAUGCGAAGCAACCUGGCCUGGAGUGAUUGCAUUAUUUCCCACUCUAGUUUCUUUUGUCGAUUGUAUACCUAAGGACCUGAACAAAGUAUUGCCUAAUCUUGAACCAGAUGGAGUUGAUCUUGUUUAUAGAAUGCUCCGGUUGAAUCCAAAAGAUAGAAUUACAGCUUCUGAUGCACUAAAUCACCAAUACUUUUCAAGAUGUGAUUCCCGAUCCUCUUCGUGAUUCUCUGUCAAAAGAAUGUGUGCUUCUUCUAAAGAAUGUUUUGAUUCACAUUACCUUUGCCUGCAACACUAUGUCUCUUUUCCUAAAGUUCUCUUCAAUUGGAAGAAAUAAACAAUUUGAUGUUGUUGACAGAACUACUCAAUAUGUAUGAUUCAUCCAUUUUUGACCAAUAAAGUACCACCUCUUUUAUCAGAAUCGUCCGAUUUA